UGAACGCUGGCGGCGUGCCUAAACAUGCAAGUCGAGCGGUAACAGGUGUAGCAACACAUGCUGACGAGCGGCGAACGGGUGAGUAAUGCUUCGGAAUCUGCCCAAUGGUGGGGAAUAACCAGCCGAAAGGUUGGCUAAUACCGCAUAAGUCCUACGGGGGAAAGCAGGGGAUCGCAAGACCUUGCGCCGAUGGAUGAGCCGAAGCCGGAUUAGCUAGUUGGUAGGGUAACGGCCUACCAAGGCGACGAUCCGUAGCUGGUCUGAGAGGACGACCAGCCACACUGGGACUGAGACACGGCCCAGACUCCUACGGGAGGCAGCAGUGGGGAAUAUUGGACAAUGGGGGAAACCCUGAUCCAGCGACGCCGCGUGUGUGAAGAAGGCCUGCGGGUUGUAAAGCACUUUUAGUGGGGAUGAAAAGCUCAGGGCUAAUACCUCUGGGUCUUGACCUAACCCAAAGAAGAAGCACCGGCUAACUCUGUGCCAGCAGCCGCGGUAAUACAGAGGGUGCGAGCGUUAAUCGGAAUUACUGGGCGUAAAGCGUGCGUAGACGGUUAUGUAAGUCGGGUGUGAAAGCCCCGGGCUCAACCUG
rnacentral:rRNA from 1 species